UUCAAAUAUCAAAAGGAAAAAAUCAAGAUGAAAAGCUAUUCCAUCCUUCCCCUGACUGGAGCAUGAAGAAGAAGAGGAAGAGAAAGUGAGAGAGAAUGGUGAAGCGGCUUGGGACGACCAGAGAGUUCUUCAGGAGGAGGGACGAGUGGAGGAAGCAUCGGAGGCUCAGCAAUUAGCUCCGCCAUGCCUUUCCCAGUCUUGGCCUCAGAGUCAUCGCCUUCGGUGUCUAUCUGGUCAGUGAGCAGAAGGAUCACAAUGACAACUAGCAUACCUGCUGGAAGUGGCAAACUGAACUAUGGAAUGAGUGACUGCAAAGGAGAAGGUUGUAAAAGGUCUUCAUGGAUCACCAGCGUGACUUUUAACAGAUGCAUACAGAAAGAAAUUUCAUGCAAAUACUUCAACUUUUCCGCCCUUAAAUACCUAUCAAACCAAAUCAUCUAUCCUUAUUCUACAAAUAUUCAAGUCACGAAGGACAUCCAAGAAGUUGCGCAUGCAUAGAUUUAGUUCUUCCCAAUCUCCAAUUACUGAGAAUUGGAGGUCCACCAGAACAAUUACUUCAUCAUACAAAAGAGAAGGUUUAACCAAGUAUUUUGAUUUUGCUAUCAUUGGUAGUGGAGUUGUUGGUUUUGGCUAUGCCCUUGAAGUUGUAAAACAUGGAUCUGUACCAGUGAUUACCAAGGUUGAGUCUCAUGAGAGUAAUACAAAUUAUGCUCAAGAAGGUGUUAGUGUAGGUUGUUUCCUUCAGAUUCUAUGGAAAGUCAUAUGCAGGACACCAUUGUUGUCGGGGCUUAUCUAUGUGACGAGGAGACUGUCAAGAUAAUAAAUGCUUUUAUUAUGUUCUCCAAGUUGUCUAUACUGAAAGACCCAAUAGGAUUAAGGAAUUGAUUGCUGAUGCAUCAUUUGAUCAUGGAGAGGAUGAAAAUUUGCAUCUAGCAAGGGAAGGGGGCCACUCUCAUCAUAGGAUUGUACAUGUUGUUGAUAUGACUGGAAAGGAGAUUGAGCGAGCUCAAUUGGAAGCAGUAUUGAAGGAUCCUAACAUUACCGGGUUAUGGCUUUUUACUUAGGAUUUUCUAUUUACAAGUUUCUAAUUCUUUGUCUUGGGGUAUAGAAAGAAAUUUUCUUCAACUCAACAUGGUAGUAAUUAUAGUAUUUUCGUUCCUUUGUAUGUUUAUGCACGAAUUGUAAAUAAGUUAUUAUCAACUACAUACCUACAGCAUUGGUCACCUUCUACUCUUUUUGAUUCAAUAUUUCUUAUUGGACAACAAUUAUGAUUCAUUUUUUCGA